ACAUACAUUUGCAAGCCACAUUGUUCGAAAUCACAUAAAAAACCCAUAAGCUCAACAUAAGCUACACAUGCAUUUUCUACCCCAUGAACUUGCAUAAAACUUGUUUAAAACAUAAAGUAAGCUAGAGAUCGACCCUUACCUCUUGAAGAUCGAGGGUGGAGGCGAUCUAACUUAGAGUUGGAAGAGAUUUGAGUUCUUGAACCUCAAAGCUCCAAAACUUGCUCAAAACUCGGAAAUCUUCAAAACAAGAUGAAAACUAGUGAAAAACUUGAAAGAUCUGAAGGAAAAGACUCAAGAUCGGUGAGGGGCGGCGGAGAACUCACCUUGGCCGGAAAUGGGAAAAAAGCUCGCCCGUUUUCGGCUAAGGGACCCUUUUAUAGUGGCUGGCCAGGCCACGUUCGGGGGCCGAACGUGCCUCCGCAUGCAUG
rnacentral:lncRNA from 1 species